rnacentral:misc_RNA from 1 species
GAUGAAGAACGUAGCGAAAUGCGAUAAGUAAUGUGAAUUGCAGAAUUCAGUGAACCAUCGAAUCUUUGAACGCACAUUGCGCCCAGCAGUAAUCUGCUGGGCAUGCCUGUCCGAGCGUCAUUUCUGCCCUCGAGCUAGUCCAGCAUCUAGGUGCUGGACCUGCCCGGUGUUGGGGCACUACGGGAAGCCUCGUGCUAUCCCCCGUAGGCCCCGAAAUGAAGUGGCGGUCCUGCCGCGGCGCCCCCUGCGUAGUAUUACAGCUCGCUUCGGGACCCGGUGGAGGCCUGCCGUCAAACCUUACUCUCUAAGUUUGACCUCGGAUCAGGUAGGGUUACCCGCUGAACUUAAGCAUAUCAAUAAGCGGAGGA